AUUGAACGCUGGCGGCAGGCCUAACACAUGCAAGUCGAACGAGUGGCGGACGGGUGAGUAAUGUCUGGGAAACUGCCCGAUGGAGGGGGAUAACUACUGGAAACGGUAGCUAAUACCGCAUACUAUCGGAUGUGCCCAUAUGGGAUUAGCUAGUAGGUGGGGUAAAGGCUCACCUAGGCGACGAUCCCUAGCUGGUCUGAGAGGAUGACCAGCCACACUGGAACUGAGACACGGUCCAGACUCCUACGGGAGGCAGCAGUGGGGAAGAUUGCACAAUGGGCGCAAGCCUGAUACAGCCAGGCCGCGUGUAUGAAGAAGGCCUUCGGGUGGUAAAGUACUUUCAGCGAGGAGGCGUUACUCGCAGAAGAAGCAUCGGCUAACUCCGUGCCAGCAGCCGCGGUAAUUC
rnacentral:rRNA from 1 species